GUGAGGAAUUUUGCGCAAUGGGGGAAACCCUGACGCAGCAACGCCGCGUGAGUGAUGAAGGCUUUCGGGUCGUAAAGCUCUGUCAAGUGGGAAGAACAUGCUUGAUGCUAAUACCAUCUUGCACUGACGGUACCACUGAAGGAAGCACCGGCUAACUCCGUGCCAGCAGCCGCGGUAAUACGGGGGGUGCAAGCGUUAUUCGGAAUUAUUGGGCGUAAAGGGCGCGUAGGCGGUCUCUUAAGUCAGAUGUGAAAGCCCGGGGCUUAACCCCGGAAGUGCAUUUGAAACUAAGGGACUUGAGUAUGGGAGAGGGAAGUGGAAUUCCUGGUGUAGAGGUGAAAUUCGUAGAUAUCAGGAGGAACACCGGUGGCGAAGGCGACUUCCUGGACCAAUACUGACGCUGAGGCGCGAAGGCGUGGGGAGCAAACAGGAUUAGAUACCCCAGUAGUCC
rnacentral:rRNA from 1 species